rnacentral:tRNA from 1 species
GCAUCCAUGGCUGAAUGGUUUAAGCGCCAACCUGGGCAAGUAGGUUCGAUUCCUGCUGGUGCU